AAGACAAACAAAAAACAAAGUUAUCUCCACGAACCUUGAUGUCUUGGAAAUAUAGAUGGGGUGGAUAAGGAUGGGGAACAACUAAUGGUCUUGAAAAUCUGACCCGGCACAGAGAUGAUCCAGAAUGAAAAACUUUAACUUUAAUGAGUUUCUGUUCCCAGACAUGUCCACACUGACUUUCUAGCAAUUACAGUAUUAGUUUUCUCCCUCAAACGCUGGCUUCCAUGAAGAUUUCUGCCUGUGACUUCCUGGUAUGAAAUGAUACAUUCUGCUUCAUUUACCAAUUCGCAGAGGAGACUUGUAGCAGAUGUGGAAAGCUUGGAAAAUAUAGUGGAUCAAAGACAGGGAGGAAAGCCGCUCAUCCCUAAGACCAAGCUUUCUGCCAAAAUGGAACUUGUGAGAAGAGCAACUUGAAGGAGAACAAACUUCUCUCACUUCAGCCCAGGUCCAACUGUCUGCAUUGCCUUUAGGCCUGUGACAAGACAGGAACAUCAGGGAAGAAGAACGUGGUGAAAGACUGCUUCCCACCUCAUGGCAGACAUGAAACAGAGAGAGAAGAAUCUACCAUCAAAAUACGCCCUUUAAAUACACGAUCACCGUGAUCUACUGCUGCGACUAAGUCCCACCAUCAGUAGCUCAUUCGGACUUGGAAUACUCCAUUCACCAAUGGAUUGGCCCCCUUAUGAUCCAACACUCUUUGGGUCAACAGCUGGGGUCAAGUUCCUAAAACACGAUGCCCUGUGAGACGUCCCUCAAUGUAUAACAUUACACCUUGGCUCUCGAAGGUUUAUCUCACAAUGAAGCUGAAAAUUGUCUUUUCAAGAGCUAUGAAGCAUUGUGUUGGCCAUAAAAUCAUUGCUCAGCUUAACAGGCAAGCUUUCUCA
rnacentral:lncRNA from 1 species